rnacentral:tRNA from 1 species
GCAGUGGUAGUUCAGUGGUAGAAUUCUCUCCUUCCAUGCAGGAGUCCUGGGUUCAAUUCCCAGCCAAUGCA